GAAGGUUAUCAGCAAGUUGCUAGUUUGUACAUCAGCAUCCAAAGGUAGCUCUGCAGAGCUUAUAACAUCCGAAGAAGGUGGGGUGGUUCCAAGCGGAGUGACAGGCGUUGUUGGAAUUGGACUUGCUGGCGUUGUCAUCAGCCCCAUUUCAGGAUGGCUUUGUGCCAGAACUGUAAUGAAGUUUCGGUUUAAGUGGACAGCUUCAUAGAGGGCCAGAAGGAUUGCUUCAUUAGUUUGGACUGAUAUCUUCUCAUCAGCAUCUGCUAUGAACAUGCUGCCCACCAUAUUAGUUAGGGCUGAAAAGAAACCACUCUGGUGCUCCUCUUCUUUAUCUUUGUAUUGCCUGUUGUACUCUG
rnacentral:lncRNA from 1 species